rnacentral:rRNA from 1 species
GACGAACCGUGCGAACGUUAUUCGGAAUCACUGGCUUAAAGCGCGUGUAGGCGGGGUGGCACGUCCGUCGCUGAAAUCCCCCGGCUCAACCGGGGAACGGGCGCGGAUACGACCAUCCUCGAGGGACGUAGGGGGACCUGGAACUUCCGGUGGAGCGGUGAAAUGCGUUGAGAUCGGAAGGAACGCCCGUGGCGAAAGCGAGGUCCUGGACGUCUGCUGACGCUGAGACGGCGAAAGCCAGGGGAGCGA